rnacentral:tRNA from 1 species
AAAGGGAGACCUAAUUCAGGUAGGAGACGAAAAAAAAGUAGUCGCUACCAAGAAUCAAUCCCAAAAGGUCGGAGCGAGGCGAAAUUGGCUUUCAAACUAGGUUCUGGGUUCACACAAGACCUGAAUCAGGAACAAGGGCUAUUAGCUCAGGUGGUUAGAGCGCACCCCUGAUAAGGGUGAGGCCCCUGGUUCGAGUCCAGGAUGGCCCACCUGCACAGGUGGCAAAAACAAGAGAAGCUCCGAAUCAGCACCUUAUCUUACUGACAUAGUAAGAGAGAAUGCUGGCUCUGAGUAAAGAGUCCAGAGGAACCUUGAAAACUGCAUAGAGCUAGGUGAAAAAGCCAAAAAAGAAGACCGCAAG